GAAACGUUUCUCAGUCUGUGACAACUGGACCUGGGUAACAGGACGUGAAGCCGUGGAUCACAGGCCGACUCCUUCUCAAAUAGGAAAUAGGCAAGGAAAAGAGGACAGCGGGGGUUAAGUGACUUGUCCAGGGUCACAUAGCUAAUCAGCUUCUCCAUCAAAUGACAACUUGAGAAUACUCCAGUGUAACAAUUGGAAUGAUG